GACGAACGCUGGCGGCGUGCUUAACACAUGCAAGUCGAACGGAAAGGCCCCAGCUUUGUGGGGUACACGAGUGGCGAACGGGUGAGUAACACGUGGGUAACCUGCCCUUCACUUCGGGAUAAGCCUGGGAAACUGGGGCUAAUACCGGAUAGGACCUCACCGUGCGGGUGGGGCGGUAAGUAUUUCGGGUUGGGAUGGGUGCGCGGGCUAUCUGCUUGUUGGUUGGGUAAGGGGCUACCAAGGCGGCGUCGGGUAGCCGGCCUGAGAGGGUGGACGGCCACAUUGGGACUGAGACACGGCCCAGACUCCUACGGGAGGCAGCAGUGGGGAAUAUUGCACAAUGGGCGGAAGCCUGAUGCAGCGACGCCGCGUGCGGGAUGACGGCCUUCGGGUUGUAAACUGCUUUCGCCAUCGACGAAGGUUUUCUGACGGUAGAUGGAGAAGAAGCACCGGCUAACUACGUG
rnacentral:rRNA from 1 species